rnacentral:lncRNA from 1 species
GCAGAUGGAGGAAAUGCGGCGGAGGAUGGAGGAGGAAAACCAGAUUAGGAUGGAGCAGAUGUUCCAGUACAUGCAGAACUUUGCUACGAGCAUGGGACAGACUUUGCCUCCGCCACCGCCGAUGAUGUUCCCUCCGCCUCAGCCACCCACGACUACUCCUGUGAGUCACUUGACACAUUGUGUUUAAGAUUCAAUAGUUUAAAUUUGACAACUUUAGAUGUUACCUCAGAAUGUCCUAUCCUAUGUGCAGAAUCAAUCGGCGGCUUCGAAUAAUGAAGAUCAAGAUUUGUCGCAGUGGUCUCCUUGGCCUCCACGGAAGUAGACUUGAUUGUGAACAAUGUGGAAACUAAAUUGUGAGAAGAACUUGGAUUUAUGGAUUAUUUCGUGCUUAUGUUGAACUAUG